rnacentral:lncRNA from 1 species
AUUUGCGCGCCUGCUGCCUUCCUUGGAUGUGGUAGCCGUUUCUCAGGCUCCCUCUCCGGAAUCGAACCCUGAUUCCCCGUCACCCGUGGUCACCAUGAGUCACCAAAGCCGCCGGCGCCCGCCCCCCGGCCGGGGCCGGAGAGGGGCUGACCGGGUUGGUUUUGAUCUGAUAAAUGCACGCAUCCCCCCCGCACGGCCGGGCCACCAGGAAAACACGGCCGCGGGAUC